GAAUCUUGCACAAUGGACGAAAGUCUGAUGCAGCGACGCCGCGUGAGCGAUGAAGCCCUUCGGGGUGUAAAGCUCUUUCGACAGGAACGAUAAUGACGGUACCUGGAGAAGAAGCUGCGGCUAACUACGUGCCAGCAGCCGCGGUAAUACGUAGGCAGCAAGCGUUGUUCGGAAUUACUGGGCGUAAAGCGUGCGUAGGCGGUGCCUCAAGUUUGGUGUGAAAUCUCCCGGCUCAACCGGGAGGGUGCGCCGAAAACUGAGGUGCUCGAGUGUGGGAGAGGUAGGCGGAAUUCCUGGUGUAGCGGUGAAAUGCGUAGAUAUCAGGAGGAACACCGGCGGUGUAGACGGCUUACUGGACCAUAACUGACGCUGAGGCACGAAAGUGUGGGGAGCAAAC
rnacentral:rRNA from 1 species